rnacentral:rRNA from 1 species
AUUGAACGCUGGCGGCAUGCCUUACACAUGCAAGUCGAACGGCAGCACGGGAGCAAUCCUGGUGGCGAGUGGCGAACGGGUGAGUAAUAUAUCGGAACGUGCCCAGUCGUGGGGGAUAACGUAGCGAAAGCUACACUAAUACCGCAUACGAUCUAUGGAUGAAAGCGGGGGAUCGCAAGACCUCGCGCGAUUGGAGCGGCCGAUAUCAGAUUAGGUAGUUGGUGGGGUAAAAGCCUACCAAGCCUUCGAUCUGUAGCUGGUCUGAGAGGACGACCAGCCACACUGGAACUGAGACACGGUCCAGACUCCUACGGGAGGCAGCAGUGGGGAAUUUUGGACAAUGGGCGCAAGCCUGAUCCAGCAAUGCCGCGUGCAGGAUGAAGGCCUCGGUUGUAAGACACUUUCUAGUAGAUGAGAAGGACAGUAUCUUAGGAAUAAGUACUCGGCUAACUACGUGCCAGCAGCCGUACGG